GAAGCCGGCCGGGCCAUCGCUGCGGAGAUUGCUCCGGAGAGGAAAGUCCGGGCUCCACAGGGCAAGGCGCUGGGUAACGCCCAGAGGGAGCGAUCCCUGGCAAGCGCAACAGAGAGCAGACCGCCAGAAAACUGGCAAGGGUGAAAGGGUGGCUUAAGAGACCACCGGAUGCGGCGGCGACGCCGCAUGCCAGGCAUGCCCCGCCUGGAGCAAGACCAAAUAGGGAAGGUGGCUGGCCCGGCCAUUGCCUUCCGGGUAGGUUGCUGGAGGGCGCGGGCAACCGCGCUCCUGGAGGAAUGAUGGCCGCUGCCAUUUGCAGAACAGAACCCGGCUUACAGGCCGGCUUCCAUU
rnacentral:RNase_P_RNA from 1 species